rnacentral:tRNA from 1 species
AAAUAAGAAGCAAUUUAUGCAUUUAAUUUCGACUUAAAAGAUUGAGUUUAUUAAGCUCCUUAUUUA